UUCUUCUAGAAACCAAUUAUUAGAAGUACGCCCUGCCCAAUGAUUUUAUUUAAUGGCCGCGGUAUCCUAACCGUGCAAAGGUAGCAUAAUCAUUUGCCCGUUAAUUGCGGGCUAGUAUGAACGGGUAAACGAAACAGAAGCUGUCUCAGUUAAACAUAUAAAAAUUAGCCUCUAGAUGAAGAGAUCUAAAUAAAAUUGAAGGACAAGAAGACCCUAUAGAGCUUUAUUCAAACUUAAUAUUUAUCUAUGAAGCAAGAAUUCGGUUGGGGCGACCAAGGACUAUAAAUCAUCCUAUAAUUAUAAAGACUAACAUGUCAAAUUAUAUGACCCUAUAUUAGAUCAAAGGAACAAGCUACCUUAGGGAUAACAGGCUAAUCCUCCUAUAGAGACCUUAUUAACAGGAGGGAUUGGCACCUCGAUGUUGGCUUAGGAAAUCUUUAUGAUGCAGAAGUCAUAAAAAGAAGGUUGUUCAACCUAUAAUAUCCU
rnacentral:rRNA from 1 species